UUGGAGGGCAAGUCUGGUGCCAGCAGCCGCGGUAAUUCCAGCUCCAAUAGCGUAUAUUAAAGUUGUUGCAGUUAAAAAGCUCGUAGUUGAAUUUCGGGGUUAGUAGGUUGGUCGUGCCUCAGGUAUGUACUGAUCUCACUGAUUCCUCCUUCCUGAUGAACCGCAAUGCCAUUAAUUUGGUGUUGCGGGGAAACUGGACUGUUACUUUGAAAAAAUUAGAGUGUUUAAAGCAGGCUAACGCUUGAAUACAUUAGCAUGGAAUAAUGAAAUAGGACGUUCGAUCCUAUUUUGUUGGUUUCUAGGAUUGACGUAAUGAUUAAUAGGGAUAGUUGGGGGCAUUAGUAUUCAAUUGUCAGAGGUGAAAUUCUUGGAUUUAUUGAAGACUAACUACUGCGAAAGCAUUUGCCAAGGAUGUUUUCAUUAAUCAAGAACGAAAGUUAGGGGAUCGAAGACGAUCAGAUACCGUCGUAGUCUUAACCAUAAACUAUGCCGACUAGGGAUCGGAUGAUGUUAAUUUUUUAAUGACUCAUUCGGCGCCUUACGGGAAA
rnacentral:rRNA from 1 species